GCUGACAUAGCUCAGUGGCAGAGCGUCGACCUGUGGAAGACAAAGAGGAAGUUGGGCUCCUUUGUCCGCAGAAUAGUUGAAGGUCGUGUGUUCGAUACUCACUGACGGCA